UCCGGAGGGCGCAAUCGUUGUUCGGAAUCACUGGGCGUAAAGCGCGUGUAGGCGGCUUGGCAAGUCGGAUGUGAAAUCCCGAGGCUCAACCUCGGAACUGCACUCGAAACUGCCUGGCUCGAGUCCCGGAGAGGGUGGCGGAAUUCCCGGUGUAGGGGUGAAAUCCGUAGAUAUCGGGAGGAACACCAGUGGCGAAGGCGGCCACCUGGACGGUGACUGACGCUGAGACGCGAAAGCGUGGGGAGAAAACCGG
rnacentral:rRNA from 1 species